rnacentral:tRNA from 1 species
GCCGGGGCAGCUCAGUUGGUUAAGCAUGCGACUCUUGUCUUCCGCUCAGGUCAUGAUCUCUCAAGGCUCGUGAGUUCAAGCCCCACAUCGGGC